rnacentral:lncRNA from 1 species
UCUAAGGGAUUUGAAGAAAAGAGGAAUAUUAUCUGAGGGAUGGAGGCGGAUGGAGUACUGACAGUGGAGGUUUUCUUUUGACGUGAGCUUUGAACAUCUGGAAAUGGAACAAAAGACAUCAGCAAAGAGGUCUCUUUCCCACCUCUUACCCCAGCCAUGUAAUUUGCACAUCGUUUUAUAUUUUCUAUUGGGAAAUCACAAAGCAUCUAAAAGGCAAGCAGUGGUUCUCAAGCUGCAGCCAAAGGAUCAGCUUGUUUUACUCAAGUGAAACCAGAACCCAGGCUGGAGCCUCGCAGAGAGGAGGGAUUUGGAAAAUACUCCUUGAGUGGAAUUCAGUGAUUUGUUUAAGAAACACCAGAGGCUUUCGCACAAUCCCUUUUUCCUGAAGCCAACUCUGCUGAGGAUGUGAUGUGGAUACGGAUGUCCGGGAAGCUGGUGUCGGUGGCGGGCUGUGUUCUCAGGCCCAGGGACGCUGUGGCAGGGACUGGAUGGGAAUGCAGCAGGGCCGUGUAUUAGCUGUGCAGCCUUGGGAAAAGUACUUCAUUGUUCUGAGCCUCAUUUUCUUAUUUGUCUGUUCUGAUUGCCUUUCAGUGACACCAUAGAGAUUAUUUUUCAGCUUGCUCCUCUGUGAGGAUCAAAUCUAUUGAAGUAUCUAAAGUACCUGGCACAGGGUCCUGCACAUACACCUCAUUUAAAUGAUCAAGUACAUACUAAGCAGCUCAUGUUCAAUUCUGAAAACUGUCCUGGGCCUGGGCCAUGUGUUCGGAGUGUGGAGAAGAGGGAGCCAGUAUUCCCCUCCCCUGGUCAGGGGGCCUGGGUCUGCGCCAGAGAACAGAAGGGCCGGCAGCCAGGCCUCUGUCCCCAAGAGCUGGGGCGCACAUUAAAGCCUGUCAUGGCUCAGGAACUGGGCCCGCUGCGCUGGGCAUCUGGAUGUUCUUAGAUCUCUGUCUGGAUUCCUUCUGCUUGUCUUGUGGAAUUACUUAUCAGCAGCAGGCAGACCAGACCCUGGGCUUUCCUCCCCACAUGGCCCAGCCCCAGGCCUUCCUAUCCGUAAACACUAGUGCAGGGGAUGGGGGAGUUGCUUCAGGACCUGUGGAUGAGGCUUCCCUGUGUGCUCCUCGGCCCCCUACGGCAGCUGCUGCUGUCUCUGUACAAAAGCAGGACCUCCAGCCUGUGCCCAGCUGCCCUCAGCAACCUGCAUCUUCAGAUGAGAGAUGUGUAGGAAUCAGAAGGGAAUUUCAAAAUUAUUUGAAAAGUGUGACUGUUGAGGGCUGUCACUUGUAUCUACUCCCUGGACCAUUUUUCCCCCACAAUACUCCUGUUAUCACCCCCUUCCCUCCAGGGUUGAUUCCACUUUUCUUUGGUUAGACCCAUGGUGACAUCCCUUUGCGCUUGUGAAUCCGAG